UCCGGUGGCAAUGGCGGAGAUGCCACACCCGUUCCCAUCCCGAACACGGAAGUUAAGAUCUCCAGCGCCGAUGGUACUGCAGGGGAGUCUCUGUGGGAGAGUAGGACGCCGCCGGAU
rnacentral:rRNA from 1 species